AUUGAACGCUGGCGGCAUGCCUUACACAUGCAAGUCGAACGGCAGCACGGGAGCAAUCCCUGGUGGCGAGUGGCGAACGGGUGAGUAAUAUAUCGGAACGUGCCCGGUCGUGGGGGAUAACGUAGCGAAAGCUACGCUAAUACCGCAUAUGAUCUACGGAUGAAAGCGGGGGAUCGCAAGACCUCGCGCGAUUGGAGCGGCCGAUAUCAGGUUAGGUAGUUGGUGAGGUAAAGGCUCACCAAGCCGACGAUCUGUAGCUGGUCUGAGAGGACGACCAGCCACACUGGGACUGAGACACGGCCCAGACUCUACCGGGAGGC
rnacentral:rRNA from 1 species